rnacentral:rRNA from 1 species
CAGCAGUAGGGAAUCUUCCACAAUGGACGAAAGUCUGAUGGAGCAACGCCGCGUGAACGAUGAAGGCCUUCGGGUCGUAAAGUUCUGUUGUAAGGGAAGAACAAGUGCCGCAGGCAAUGGCGGCACCUUGACGGUACCUUGCGAGAAAGCCACGGCUAACUACGUGCCAGCAGCCGCGGUAAUACGUAGGUGGCAAGCGUUGUCCGGAAUUAUUGGGCGUAAAGCGCGCGCAGGCGGCCUCUUAAGUCUGAUGUGAAAGACCCCCGGCUCAACCGGGGAGGGCCAUUGGAAACUGGGAGGCUUGAGUAUAGGAGAGAAGAGUGGAAUUCCACGUGUAGCGGUGAAAUGCGUAGAGAUGUGGAGGAACACCAGUGGCGAAGGCGACUCUUUGGCCUAUAACUGACGCUGAGGCGCGAAAGCGUGGGGAGCAAACAGGAUUAGAUACCCUGGUAG